UCCGCACACCCACCGGUAACCGGCAGGAGCGGGGGACCCACAGGUACCACGCCUGUUCCGGUCUCCGGAACGGCUAGGGGUAUAGCCGCGCAGCCGCGUGGCCGGGCAUCUCCAGCCCGCACCCGACAGCUCACCUCGCAGGCGCCGGAGAGGAAUUCU
rnacentral:sRNA from 2 species